rnacentral:lncRNA from 1 species
UCAACUCAGGCCCUGGGCUGCCUGGAGGCGGGACUUGAACUCUUGCCAGGUUGUGAGGCCAGAGAUGACAGGCUUCUGUCUCUGAAUCUCCAAAGUCUACACCAGAUAUGGUGCCUGACGUCCUCCCUGCCCAUGUUUGGAGAGGAGCCCAGAUGAUCUGGGACAAGGGUUGGCCUGGUCCAGCUCAGCUGGCUGCGAACUCUCAAGUUCAUGCUUUUACCUGCCACAUCCUUGCCUUGAAAGGGCAGGGUGGCUGUAAACUUGGGGCUCAGAAUCCCCUUUAACCACUCCUCAACUUCCCCUCUAAACUGAGAGGGAGACGCUGAGACCUGAGGAUCCAGUCCCCCUACCUGAACUGGAUCCACUGCCCCUAGCUGGUCAAACCCCAGAUUUUGCCGGCUACCCAGGCAAGGCAGAUGCACCCAGGCUGUGGAGAUUGACUGGCCCAGCCCAGCACAGCGCAGCCUCCCACGACCUUCCCUAAAUCAGGGGCCAGAGGCAAAGAGCUCCCAGCAGAAGAGGAGAGGAGGCUGUGUGGUACAAAUUGUUCCUGACAGAAGAAUGCUGCAGCUGAGCCCAUCCUGGCUGGGCCUCGGCCCGGUGGCAGCAUCACUAUGGCUGCUCCUGCUGCUGGCUGGGGCCUCCUGGCUCCUGGCCCGCUUCCUGGCCUGGACCUGUGCCUUCUGUGACAACUGCCGCUGCCUCAAGUAUUUCCCACAACCCCCAAACAGAAACGGUUUUGGGGUCACCAGGACCUGCAACCCCUCCUCCAGGAAGCCUUCCAGCCUGCCCCAGCAAAGACCUUGUUCUCUGGGUUGUCGCACCCAUCUCCUUCUCUCGGUUCCUGACUCCACAAAGUUUAAGAUGUCUCUGUCCACAUCCAUUUCCUCAAGCAUGGGGCUUCCUCGAGGACAGUGCUCUAAAUUGAGGCUUCUUGGGGCCCCAGUGGUGCCCAGCACAAAACGGCAGGGACAGAUGGUAGUGGAUGGAGGAGAUGCUGACAUGGGAGUUGGUGAAUACACAAAGAAAAGAGGAACAUGGCUGAGAGAGAAGCAGGAAGAGGGGCCUGAACCCUGCAGGGCCCACAUGGAAGCUUGGGGGAAGAGAGGAUAGAAGGCCUCGGAUAUUUCCCAGCACCCACCAUCCCAAGCUCUGCAUGGGUACCUGAGGCACUGGUGAUAGAACGGAUGAUGUCAGGGUGGCAUAAAACGAGGAGGGGGAAGGUAGGACCCAGCCACAACUUAAAGCCCUGGGUGGCCACCAGCUCGACGAACUUCUUUAUGCCCUCUUCCGUGGGGGUGACCUGAAAGCAAGGCAGAGGCCGUCAGCCCUUGUAAUGGUUAAUUCUAGGUGUCCUGAGUUAACCAUGGUUUCCACAUGACUGAGCUAAGGGAUACCCAGAUAAAACAUGCUGGCAAAACAUUAUUUCUGGAUGCGUCCGUCGGUGUAUUUCCAGAAGAGAUUCGCAUUUGAAUAGGUAAACUGAGGAAGGAUGAUCCGCCUCCCCAGUGGGAGGGGGUGUCAUUCAAUCCUUUGAUGGUGCAGAUAGAACAAAGAGGCAGAGGAAAGGGUGGAUGUGCGCUCUCUUCUGGAGCUGGCUCAUCCAUCCGCUUUCAUCCUUGGACAUGAGAACUCCAGGUUCUCAGGCCUUUUGGAACUCCGACUGAAUUUACACCACCAGCGUCCCUGGUUUCUGGCUUGCAGAUGCUAUAUUAUGGGACUUCUUGGCCUCCAUCAUCACAUUUUCCAAUUCCCAUAAUAAACUAACUCUCUCUCUCUCUCUUUCUCUCUCUGUCUCAAUAUAUGCUUCAGAGAUAAGAGGAAGGAUAUCCUGUUGAUUCAGUUUCUAAAGAGAACCUGAGUAAUGCA